UACGUAGGGUGCAAGCGUUAAUCGGAAUUACUGGGCGUAAAGCGUGCGCAGGCGGUGAUGUAAGACAGGUGUGAAAUCCCCGGGCUUAACCUGGGAACUGCAUUUGUGACUGCAUCGCUGGAGUGCGGCAGAGGGGGAUGGAAUUCCGCGUGUAGCAGUGAAAUGCGUAGAUAUCGUAAGGAAGGCCAGUGGCGAAGGCGAGUUCCUGGACAGUUACUGACGCUGAGGCACGAAGGCCAGGGGAGCAAACGGG
rnacentral:rRNA from 1 species